UACGUAGGGUGCGAGCGUUGUCCGGAAUUAUUGGGCGUAAAGGGCUCGUAGGCGGUCUGUCGCGUCGAAAGUGAAAACUCAGGGCUUAAACCCUGAGCCUGCUUCCGACUACGGGCAGACUAGAGGUAUGCAGGGGAGAACGGAAUUCCUGGUGUAGCGGUGAAAUGCGCAGAUAUCAGGAGGAACACCGGUGGCGAAGGCGGUUCUCUGGGCAUUACCUGACGCUGAGGAGCGAAAGUGUGGGGAGCGAACAGG
rnacentral:rRNA from 1 species